GACGAACCGUGCGAACGUUGUUCGGAAUCACUGGGCUUAAAGGGCGCGUAGGCGGGCCAGCGAGUCAGGGGUGAAAUACUUCGGCUUAACCGGAGAAUGGCUUCUGAUACUGUUGGCCUCGAGGGGUGUAGGGGCAUGUGGAACUUCCGGUGGAGCGGUGAAAUGCGUAGAUAUCGGAAGGAACGCCGGUGGCGAAAGCGACGUGCUGGACACCUUCUGACGCUGAGGCGCGAAAGCCAGGGGAGCAAACGGG
rnacentral:rRNA from 1 species